rnacentral:rRNA from 1 species
UACGGAGGGUGCAAGCGUUAUCCGGAUUCACUGGGUUUAAAGGGUGCGUAGGCGGGCAGGUAAGUCAGUGGUGAAAUCCUUGAGCUUAACUCGAGAACUGCCAUUGAUACUAUCUGUCUUGAAUAUUGUGGAGGUAAGCGGAAUGUGUCAUGUAGCGGUGAAAUGCUUAGAUAUGACAUAGAACACCUAUUGCGAAGGCAGCUUACUACGCAUAUAUUGACGCUGAGGCACGAAAGCGUGGGGAUCAAACAGG